GUAUCUUCGGAUAUGAGUAGAGCGGCGGACGGGUGAGUAACGCGUAGGAAUCUACCUAGUAGAAGGGGAUAGCCCGGGGAAACCCGGAUUAAUACCGUAUACCUCCUUCGGGAGAAAGAAGGCCUCUCUUUGAAGCUUUCGCUACUAGAUGAGCCUGCGUAAGAUUAGCUUGUUGGUGAGGUAAAGGCUCACCAAGGCGACGAUCUUUAGCUGGUCUGAGAGGACGAUCAGCCACAUUGGGACUGAGACACGGCCCAGACUCCUACGGGAGGCAGCAGUGGGGAAUAUUGGACAAUGGGCGCAAGCCUGAUCCAGCCAUACCGCGUGUGUGAAGAAGGCCUUCGGGUUGUAAAGCACUUUAAGCAGGGAGAAAAAGUUAUAAGUUAAUACCUUAUAACCCUGAUGUUACCUGCAGAAUAAGCACCGGCUAAUUCCGUGCCAGCAGCCGCGGUAAUACGGAAGGUGCAAGCGUUAAUCGGAAUUACUGGGCGUAAAGCGCGCGUAGGUGGUUUGUUAAGUUGGAUGUGAAAGCCCUGGGCUUAACCUAGGAACUGCAUCCAAAACUAACUCACUAGAGUACGAUAGAGGGAGGUAGAAUUCAUAGUGUAGCGGUGGAAUGCGUAGAUAUUAUGAAGAAUACCAGUGGCGAAGGCGGCCUCCUGGAUCUGUACUGACACUGAGGUGCGAAAGCGUGGGUAGCGAACAGGAUUAGAUACCCUGGUAGUCCACGCCGUAAACGAUGACAACUAGCCGUUGGGAGACAA
rnacentral:rRNA from 1 species